CUGUAACAUAAUUAGUGAUCAAAUAUGGCUAAAACAGCAAGAAAAAUAGAAUAAAAAUAUGGUUCGAACAUAAAUAACAACUAUUGUACGAUAAUUUGGUCUUACAAAAAUGCACAAAUAUUAAUUGCACAGAGUUGUUGCUAAAUCUGCACAACAACCCCCACUAAAUGACGAUUAUUUGGAUUAUUUGAACAAAAAUAAAUGAAAAAUAAAAUAAAAUGU
rnacentral:lncRNA from 1 species